rnacentral:lncRNA from 1 species
CUAGUCGUUCCCUCCCUCCCGCCCGGACCGAGCCUUCUGUCUCCUUUUCGUCCCUCCCCUGUUUUUUUCUCCGGUUGAAAAUCUGCAAAACCUUUCCGCAGAAGUUGGCAACACAGUGGACUCGGUUGUUGGCGGCUGUGGAUUUGAGGACCUGGGCAAUGUUCCUGAUUUUAUGCAGAUGCCAUGGCUCCAUAUAUAAAGGACAUUCACUAAAAAGAAAACAAGUAUGGAAACCGUAAUACCUUGAGGAGCACGUUGCAGCCUGGGAAUAUCAAAGUUGGACCUUUAGAGCCUUAAUCCUGCCUGCUCCCUGUUGGAAUAAUAAAUGAACACAGUGUAAAACA